AGAGCAGACAAGGUAAGCAAGAGAGGAAAAACAAAGCAGUUAACCCAUUGGGGGACAUAAGGUUUAUAAAAGCUAAUCUAGGUAAUGGGAUAAGGA